UGUACAGUCAGGUGCAGAAAAACCUGACCCCCUGCAUUUCAAAUAGAAAUUCAAACUACGCAAAGCCAAUUUGUCGGUGUGACGUAUGUUGCGGUAGUGCUCGUGUCUAUAGACAGACACAGAACUAUUUUACUAUUCUCCUAUUUAUAUCCAUCAUUUAGAUUUUAGAUAAUAUCCAUCAUUUACACAAACUAACGAAUUCAUAGAACAAUAAUAUUAUGAAAUACAAAAUUUAAAUUAUUUUUGUUUUUCAUCUGGGCUCGAACCCGCGGCCCAAUUAUUCGCAAACCAACCAUUUGCCCGCUACGCCACGAAGCUUAUUGAACUCGUUUGCAAAAUAGUGAAUAUGUUGCGGUUCAUUAGCAAAAGUAUAGUCUAUGUAGUGAAUAGUGAUAAUUGUUUACAAUAUGAAAUAUUAUAAGCGCAGAGGGUAUUUUGAAUUUAUUUCUCAUUUGAAAUUGUAGACUUGAAGAGAAUGUUUUGUUGCAUUGAGAUGGGUUUUGUUAAUUCCAUCUGAUUGAUCUGAUUUAUAUUUAUACCUAUAAUAUAAUCAAAAUUAUUGAUUUGUAACGAUGACAAACGAAUUUAUUAACAAGGUCAUCAUUAUUAAUUGAGUUAAGUGCCAGGACAACAUUGGGUUACCGAAGAUGGAUGUCCUAUAAUGGGCCCUGAAGAACUGUUAUAAAAUAGCUAACGCAUGACAAGAUUUAAUUUGAGAAUUUUAAGGAUGAUAUUAUGGUUGCUGUUUGCAUUGCGUCAGAAAUAUCUUCUACACGAUAACAGCUCAACUCGCAAAGAAGAAAUGGAACAUUAUAACUAUGUUAUUAUACGUUUAGUAGGUAUUUAACGGGUCCCCAGUUUAAAAAUGAGUAAAAUUUAUUUAGUAGUAAGAUAAUUAUUUGUUCAUACUGUUAAGAUAAUUGAUUACAUAUUUAUAAGUAACUACUUAGUAAUAAAAUUGUUGCUUAUUUAUAAUUUAAUUGUAGAAAACAACAAGAGAUGUAAAUUGUGAAAUUUAGUAACAUGUUGGUUCUCAUUGUUGUAAUUCUACAAUUUUUGAAUUUGUUUACUUUUGUUCAUAAUUAUUCUGCAUACAGACUAAUAAUAUUUACUUGUUUAGUGAAAUAAAGUUCUUUUUCUUA